CAUCGUUGAACUAAAAAGGUGAAUAUGUCAGAGGAGAGAGGCCAAAGAUGCCGCUGAACUAUUGAACUCUUUGUCGC
rnacentral:misc_RNA from 1 species